UUUCUAGUCUCGUUUGGUUUCGAGAGCCUCCCUCUCCCCGUCCCUUACUCGUCUUUUGAAAGCCGUCGUCCUGGAUUUUCUUUCCGUAUGCCGGGGAAAGUACCUCACCCUCACCUUUCUACAUUUAUUAUUAUAUAGAAUUUCCCCGGGUCUCUAUAAAACAGAAUGAAAAGCCCGGGUGGAAGCACAAACAAAAGGAGAGAGAAAAAGUAGAAAAGAAAGGGGGGAAGAAGUCUAGUGCUAGUUCUUACUAAGACUUCUUUAUCUAACUUUCAUUUUUGAGUGGUUUCUUUGUUCUCUUAUUUGGAUUGAAAGAAAGAAAAAACUUCCCUUUCUUUCUCUUCUUUAUUUUUGUUUUAUCCCUUCGACGAAUUUCGGCUAUGACCAAUGCCCCACUAGCUAAAUAGGCGUAAGAAAAAGCUACCUGAAAAAAAAGCAAGGUGCACCUUGAAUUGAACUCGACGAAUUGCGUUUUGCCAGAGAGAUUUUUUUAGAAAGAUUCUCCAUUGGUAAUUCAAAAAUAGAAAGAAUAUAAAUAAAGGCGCAUACGCGGGAAGGGGCCCCCACUACUUCUUCAUUCAGGGG
rnacentral:lncRNA from 1 species